AGAGUUUGAUCCUGGCUCAGGACGAACGCUGGCGGCACGCUUAACACAUGCAAGUCGAACGAGAGAAGAGGAGCUUGCUUUUCUGAUCUAGUGGCGGACGGGUGAGUAACACGUGAGCAAUCUGCCUUUCAGAGGGGGAUACCGAUUGGAAACGAUCGUUAAUACCGCAUAACAUAAUUGAACCGCAUGAUUUGAUUAUCAAAGAUUUAUCGCUGAAAGAUGAGCUCGCGUCUGAUUAGCUAGUUGGUAAGGUAACGGCUUACCAAGGCGACGAUCAGUAGCCGGACUGAGAGGUUGAUCGGCCACAUUGGGACUGAGACACGGCCCAGACUCCUACGGGAGGCAGCAGUGGGGAAUAUUGCACAAUGGAGGAAACUCUGAUGCAGCGAUGCCGCGUGAGGGAAGAAGGUUUUAGGAUUGUAAACCUCUGUCUUCAGGGACGAAAAAAGACGGUACCUGAGGAGGAAGCUCCGGCUAACUACGUGCCAGCAGCCGCGGUAAUACGUAGGGAGCGAGCGUUGUCCGGAAUUACUGGGUGUAAAGGGAGCGUAGGCGGGAUCGCAAGUCAGAUGUGAAAACUAUGGGCUUAACCCAUAAACUGCAUUUGAAACUGUGGUUCUUGAGUGAAGUAGAGGUAAGCGGAAUUCCUAGUGUAGCGGUGAAAUGCGUAGAUAUUAGGAGGAACAUCAGUGGCGAAGGCGGCUUACUGGGCUUUAACUGACGCUGAGGCUCGAAAGCGUGGGGAGCAAACAGGAUUAGAUACCCUGGUAGUCCACGCCGUAAACGAUGAUUACUAGGUGUGGGGGGACUGACCCCUUCCGUGCCGCAGCAAACGCAAUAAGUAAUCCACCUGGGGAGUACGACCGCAAGGUUGAAACUCAAAGGAAUUGACGGGGGCCCGCACAAGCAGUGGAGUAUGUGGAUUAAUUCGAAGCAACGCGAAGAACCUUACCAGGUCUUGACAUCGUAUGCAUAGCUCAGAGAUGAGUGAAAUCUCUUCGGAGACAUAUAGACAGGUGGUGCAUGGUUGUCGUCAGCUCGUGUCGUGAGAUGUUGGGUUAAGUCCCGCAACGAGCGCAACCCUUACUGUUAGUUGCUACGCAAGAGCACUCUAGCAGGACUGCCGUUGACAAAACGGAGGAAGGUGGGGAUGACGUCAAAUCAUCAUGCCCCUUAUGACCUGGGCCUCACACGUACUACAAUGGCUGUCAACAGAGGGAAGCAAAGCCGCGAGGUGGAGCGAACCCCUAAAAGCAGUCUUAGUUCGGAUUGUAGGCUGCAACCCGCCUACAUGAAGUCGGAAUUGCUAGUAAUCGCAGAUCAGCAUGCUGCGGUGAAUACAUUCCCGGGCCUUGUACACACCGCCCGUCACGCCAUGGGAGUCGGUAACACCCGAAGCCUGUAGUCUAACCGCAAGGAGGACGCAGUCGAAGGUGGGAUUGAUGACUGGGGUGAAGUCGGAACAAGGUA
rnacentral:rRNA from 1 species